rnacentral:misc_RNA from 1 species
AAGUCGUAACAAGGUUUCCGUAGGUGAACCUGCGGAAGGAUCAUUAACACGUUAUCCACGUAUUACCAACGAGAAUUGUUUUCACACUCUCCUCUAGAGAAUGAAUUGAACAGCUUGCUUAGAGUUAUUGAAUGGGAGUUGCUUCGGCCUCAGGCUCUACUCGCUACCUAUAGACUUAACACUCUAUUAACAAUUGCAUCUCAAUAUGAGGACUUCCUCUCUUCAGGCGUGUCUCCAUUCAUUGAUGCGCAGGAAGGGAACUAUACUUUACCAAUUUCACAAACACUUUUGCUAGUUGAC